rnacentral:sRNA from 1 species
CAGCGACAAUUUUUCUCAAAAACGCGUC